AACUGAAGAGUUUGAUCAUGGCUCAGAUUGAACGCUGGCGGCAGGCUUAACACAUGCAAGUCGAGCGGGGGAAGGUAGCUUGCUACUGGACCUAGCGGCGGACGGGUGAGUAAUGCUUAGGAAUCUGCCUAUUAGUGGGGGACAACAUCUCGAAAGGGAUGCUAAUACCGCAUACGUCCUACGGGAGAAAGCAGGGGAUCUUCGGACCUUGCGCUAAUAGAUGAGCCUAAGUCGGAUUAGCUAGUUGGUGGGGUAAAGGCCUACCAAGGCGAC
rnacentral:rRNA from 1 species